rnacentral:rRNA from 1 species
GACGAACGCUGGCGGCGUGCCUAAUACAUGCAAGUAGAACGCUGAAGGAGGAGCUUGCUUCUCUGAUUAGUUUUCAACCGGUUAGUAAACUCUUAGUUACCCUCCCUGUUACCGGGGAUUAACAUUUGAAACCAUAGCCUAUUCCCCCUUAUUGGUGAUUUUUCAUUACAUUUUCUUAAAAGGUGCAAUUUGCUCAAUACCCGAUUGACCUGCCGUGUAAUAGCCAGUUGGUGGGGUAACGGGCCAACAAGGCGACCAUACAUAGCCGACCUGUGAGGGUGAUCGGCCACACUGGGACUGAGACACGGCCCAGACUCCUACGGGAGGCAGCAGGAGGGAAUCUUCGGCAAUGGACGGAAGGUUGACAGAGCAAAGCCGCGGGAGUGAAGAAGGUUUUCGGAUUGUAAAGCUCCGUUGUAAGAGAAGAACGAGUGUGAGAGUGGAAAGUUCACAAUGUGACGGUAUCUUAACAGAAAGGGACGGCUAACUACGUG